AUGCAGAGACUAAAUGCCAGGUUUUAUUUUUGUGAAGCGCUUUGCACUCUUCUUCCAUGGCCUUCUUCCACCGUGGAUCAUGCAAAGCUUCUGCUACAGUAUGUGGAACAGUAUCUGCAUCAUGAGUGUUACAGGCAUAGCCAAAUUUUGCCAUAUGUUUGUAGUUUUUGGGUUGGAUUACUCCCCUUUGAAGUCUGGUCCGAGAUGGCGAAGAGGCAGGCACAGAAGAUCCAGCGCCUGGAACAGCUGCAGAUCCCGAAGACGAUCUGUCGGGGGCCUCAGGCGUGGGCGACGAGGCGGGAUCUUCUGCGGCCAGAGGGCGUGACAUACUGGAGGAUGAGGGCACAGAAGAUCCCACAGCUGCGCCAGCCGAAGCAUCCGGCUCAUGAUGGGGCGAUGAUGAGUGGGCCCCAGCAGAUGCGGCGCGGGACUCCACGCCCGGAUCCUGCCGAGGCGCGCGCCGCGUGUAGUGACGCGGUUCGAGGCCGAACCGACCAGACGCAGGCAGCGCGUGGUCCAUCCGCGCGGGCGCGCCGGGAUUGGUCGGGCCGCUGCUGUCGUGGCAUGGAGCAGGACCGCGACUGUCGUGGAGUGGCGCGGGGCUCGGUGCAGAUUCGUCUGUCCCAUCACGCCCGGAUCCCGGGGCUGAUGCGCCCUGAUCCCGAGACGAAUCUGCCUCGAUGGCGCUGCUGCUGCAUCCAGGAGGCAUAA
rnacentral:rRNA from 1 species